GCCAGCAUGGCAUAAUGGUUUGAGUGUUGGACUACAACUCUAGAGACCAGAGUUUAAUUCCCUGCUCCGCCA